rnacentral:lncRNA from 1 species
GCCUACUUGUUAUUUCUGAAAAUACGAGUUUUCCAAAAAACAGCAUUUUGCGAUGGUAAAAUCCUUUCUUUUUUUGAAAAAAGGGAAAAUAGUAAAAUCCUUGUUCUUGCAUGCAACAAAUUUUCUUUGAUCUCUUUUUAAAUUUUUACAUUCUCUCUUUCCAUUACUAGCAAAAAAAAUUUCCUAUUUUUUAUUUUUAUUUAAGCAAAAGUAAAAUCCUUGUUUUUGCAUGCAACAAAUUUUUUUGAUCGCUUUUUAAUUUUUACAUUCUCUCUUUCCAUUACUAGCAAAAAAAUUCUCCUAUUUUUUAUUUUUAUUUAAACAAGAGAAAAGACCUGAAUUAGAGUUCUAUGCAACUUACAAUGUCAAGCUCCAUGAAAAGCCUCCUGAAAGGCCUCCGAUACAUUUCUCAAGUAUUUG